rnacentral:rRNA from 1 species
CCUACGGGGAGCAGCAGUGGGGAAUAUUGGACAAUGGGGGGAACCCUGAUCCAGCCAUGCCGCGUGUGUGAAGAAGGCCCUCGGGUUGUAAAGCACUUUCAGUGAGGAAGAACGCCUGGUGGUUAAUACCCAUCAGGAAAGACAUCACUCACAGAAGAAGCACCGGCUAACUCCGUGCCAGCAGCCGCGGUAAUACGGAGGGUGCGAGCGUUAAUCGGAAUUACUGGGCGUAAAGCGCGCGUAGGUGGCUUGAUAAGCCGGUUGUGAAAGCCCCGGGCUCAACCUGGGAACGGCAUCCGGAACUGUCAAGCUAGAGUGCAGGAGAGGAAGGUAGAAUUCCCGGUGUAGCGGUGAAAUGCGUAGAGAUCGGGAGGAAUACCAGUGGCGAAGGCGGCCUUCUGGACUGACACUGACACUGAGGUGCGAAAGCGUGGGUAGCAAACAGGAUUAGAUACCCGGUAGUC